AGAAUCAACGCUGGCGGCGUGCCUAACACAUGCAAGUCGCACGAGAAAGGGGAGCAAUCCCUGAGUAAAGUGGCGCACGGGUGAGUAACACGUGAAUAAUCUACCUCCGAGUGGGGAAUAACUGAGAGAAAUCUUAGCUAAUACCGCAUAACACUUACGAGUCAAAGCAGCAAUGCGCUUGGAGAGGAGUUCGCGGCCGAUUAGUUAGUUGGCGGGGUAAUGGCCCACCAAGACGACGAUCGGUA
rnacentral:rRNA from 1 species